rnacentral:tRNA from 2 species
UAGAAAGCCCCGCAAGCA